rnacentral:rRNA from 1 species
AACGAACGCUGGCGGCGCGCCUAAUACAUGCAAGUCGAGCGAGAAGGUGUAGCAAUACACUUGUAAAGCGGCGAACGGGUGAGGAAUGCAUGGGUAACCUACCCUCGAGUGGGGAAUAACUAGCCGAAAGGUUAGCUAAUACCGCAUACGUUUCCGGAACUUCGGUUUCGGAAAGAAAGCAAUACCGUGGGUAUUGCGCUCCUGGAUGGGCUCAUGUCCUAUCAGCUUGUUGGUGAGGUAACGGCUCACCAAGGCUUCGACGGGUAGCUGGUCUGAGAGGACGAUCAGCCUCACUGGCACUGCGACACGGGCCAGACUCCUACGGGAGGCAGCAGUAAGGAAUAUUGCGCAAUGGACGAAAGUCUGACGCAGCGACGCCGCGUGGGGGAUGAAGGUCUUCGGGUUGUUAGAGCACUUUCACCGGAGAAGAUAAUGACGGUAUCCGGAGAAGAAGCCCCGGCUAACUUCGUGCCAGCAGCCGCGGUAA